AUUGAACGCUGGCGGCAUGCCUUACACAUGCAAGUCGAACGGUAACAGGUCUUCGGAUGCUGACGAGUGGCGAACGGGUGAGUAAUGCAUCGGAACGUGCCCAGUUGUGGGGGAUAACUGCUCGAAAGAGCAGCUAAUACCGCAUACGACCUGAGGGUGAAAGCGGGGGAUCGCAAGACCUCGCGCAAUUGGAGCGGCCGAUGUCAGAUUAGGUAGUUGGUGGGGUAAAGGCCUACCAAGCCGACGAUCUGUAGUUGGUCUAAGAGGACGACCAGCCACACUGGGACUGAGACACGGCCCAGACUCCUACGGGAGGCAGCAGUGGGGAAUUUUGGACAAUGGGCGCAAGCCUGAUCCAGCAAUGCCGCGUGCAGGAAGAAGGCCUUCGGGUUGUAAACUGCUUUUGUCAGGGAAGAAAUCCUCUGGGUUAAUACCCCGGGGGGAUGACGGUACCUGAAGAAUAAGCACCGGCUAACUACGUGCCAGCAGCCGCCGUAAGAC
rnacentral:rRNA from 1 species